CUGAUGAUUAACCCAGGGCUGCAUUAUGGAGAAAAUCUGUCAAAAUGCAACUACAUUACAUGGCGCUUUACAGGCAUCAUUUCUGCCUCACAUCAGUCCCUGCACCAGCAGAGCUUACAAUCUAAGGUUCCUACAACAUUUAUAUACACUAGUGCCACAUUUUAUUAGGAGUCAGCUAAGCUGCCUGUAUGUGUUGGAGAGACCAUUCCAGCCAAUGGUUAAUCCUAAAUAGACAGCAAUGCACUGGCCAAACCCUGUGUUACACCCCAUUAAAUAUAUACAUCUAACAGUAUAGCUUUAAUCAGAGAACCUUUAGUAGAUCAUAUUACUGACUAUAUUCCCCACAGCACAAGCUCAAGUCAGCAAAGUGGUUUAUUUGUGCAUUAUGGAGGGAUUGUACCCCCCUGGGAGGCAUCAGAAUGAACUACUACAAUGAAUAAAACGUGUGCCAUGAACUAAGUUUACGCUUAAAAAGCUGAUUUAUUAUAUACACACACACACACACACAUAUAUAUGACAUGGCCGAUACAUAAGAGAUAGUUUCAAGCAAUGGCGUGUUUCUAUACAACUCCACAAAGACAGCAGAGAAACUACUACAGCAUGCCGGCUCUCAGCUGUCAAUCAGCUCCCAACGUACACAAACAAUCCCACAAGGUGAGCAACUCCUGAUCGCCAGCUCCCCCCAGCGACCGCACUUGGAGCUGCAACCCCGCUCAACAACCAGGCCCAACCCCAAAAGACAGGGAGAGAAACACACACAACAAAAUGGCGGACCGCGGCCCCAUCACGUGACCCCUUUGUGCCUUCCCGGCCGCUAAAUUCUUCCCAGGUAUCACCGGCGGACACACCGGGGACAUAUAUCCCCACAGGGAGAUCCGCUUUAGCCUCACGAGCCACCCCCGAGGAUGGAAUGACAGGGGGAGAGGGCUGCCUGUACUCAGGCUCCAGUUAUUCCCCAGAGACUACAUCAUAUUAGCAGGCCUCAAGCUGUUUACAGACUUAAGGUAGGAGAUCCGAAUUACGGAAAGACCCAUACCUGUACUGUAUAAGUCGCCGGAAGAAAUUGCUUGUGGUUGCUGUUGCCUGAAAUAAUCACUGUUAAUAUGCCCUUAUCCGCUGAGUCAACUAUCCCUAUAAUGUUGUACCUAGCUUCUGUUACUUAGGAUAGUUUUAAUAAAACUUGAAACAAUUAA